rnacentral:rRNA from 1 species
UGGGGAAUCUUGGACAAUGGGCGCAAGCCUGAUCCAGCCAUGCCGCGUGAGCGAUGAAGGCCUUAGGGUUGUAAAGCUCUUUCACCGGUGAAGAUAAUGACGGUAGCCGGAGAAGAAGCCCCGGCUAACUCCGUGCCAGCAGCCGCGGUAAUACGGAGGGGGCUAGCGUUGUUCGGAAUUACUGGGCGUAAAGCGCGCGUAGGCGGACUGAUCAGUCAGGGGUGAAAUCCCGGGGCUCAACCCCGGAACUGCCUCCAAAACUAUUGGUCUAGAGUUCGAGAGAGGUGAGUGGAAUUCCAAAGUGUAGAGGUGAAAUUCGUAGAUAUUUGGAGGAACACCAGUGGCGAAAGGCGGCUCACUGGCUCGAUACUGACGCUGAGGUGCGAAAAGUGUGGGGAGCAAAACAGGAUUAGAUACCCUGGUAGUCCACACCGUAAAACGAUGAAAUGCCAGUCGUCGGGUAGCAUGCUAUUCGGUGACACACCUAACGGAUUAAAGCAUUCCGCCUGGGAGUACGGUCGC